AUUGAACGCUGGCGGCAUGCCUUACACAUGCAAGUCGAACGGCAGCACGGGAGCAAUCCUGGUGGCGAGUGGCGAACGGGUGAGUAAUAUAUCGGAACGUGCCCAGUCGUGGGGAUAACGUAGCGAAAGCUACGCUAAUACCGCAUACGAUCUAUGGAUGAAAGCGGGGGAUCGCAAGACCUCGCGCGAUUGGAGCGGCCGAUAUCAGAUUAGGUAGUUGGUGAGGUAAAGGCUCACCAAGCCGACGAUCUGUAGCUGGUCUGAGAGGACGACAGCCANACUGGGACUGAGACACGGCCCAGACUCCUACCGGAGGCAGCAGU
rnacentral:rRNA from 1 species